rfam:Echinostoma caproni strain Egypt genome assembly, scaffold: ECPE_scaffold0000140
GCACUACUGAAGAGUCUUAAACAGGACGAAACAGCUCUCCAGUGC